rnacentral:rRNA from 1 species
UCAAUUUUGAUACAAGAAAUGGAUAACUGUAGAAAAACUAGAGCUAAUACAUGCCGUAACCGCAAGGUUGUAUUUAUUAGAUAUACCCAGUAGGUGAUUCAUAAUAACUAUGCAAAUCGAGGCUCUGCCGAUACAUCAUUCAAGUUUCUGCCCUAUCAGCUUUCGAUGGUAGUGUAUUGGACUACCAUGGCUUUCACGGGUAACGGAGAAUUAGGGUUCGAUUCCGGAGAAGGAGCCUGAGAAACGGCUACUACAUCUAAGGAAGGCAGCAGGCGCGUAAAUUACCCAAUCCUGACUCAGGGAGGUGGUGACAAGAUAUAACAACGCUAUUUUAAAUAGCGAUUGUAGUGAGGGUUUUCUAAAAAGAACUUCGAGUACGAUUGGAGGGCAAGUCUGGUGCCAGCAGCCGCGGUAAUUCCAGCUCCAAUAGCGUAUAUUAAAGUUGUUGCAGUUAAAAAGCUCGUAGUUGGAUUUCAAAGUGGAGGGGAGGAAACUCGCCGAAACUUAUCAGUCCUAUCGGACUGUUACUGUGAGAAAAUUAGAGUGUUUAAAGCAGGCCAUUGCAGGAAUACAUUAGCAUGGAAUAACGAGUAUGUCUAGAAUCUUGGUUAAUUCUAGAAAACGAUUAAUAGGGACAGUUGGGGGCAUUAGUAUUUAAUUGUCAGAGGUGAAAUUCUUGGAUUUAUUAAAGACUAACAUAUGCGAAANCCAUUUGCCAA